GACGAACGCUGGCGGCGUGCUUAACACAUGCAAGUCGAACGAAGUGGCGGACGGGUGAGUAACGCGUAAUCAACCUGCCCAUCAGAGGGGGACAACAGUUGGACACGACUGCUAAUACCGCAAACUGAAGGAGGGCAUUGCGUCUGAUUAGCUAGUUGGAGGGGUAACGGCCCACCAAGGCGAUGAUCAGUAGCCGGUCUGGGAGGGUGAACGGCCACAUUGGGACUGGGACACUGCCCCGACUCCUACGGGAGGCAGCAGUGAGGAAUCUUCCGCAAUGGACGAAAGUCUGACGGGGCAACGCCGCGUGAGUGAUGACGGCCUUCGGGUUGUAAAGCUCUGUUAAUCGGGACGCGGUACCGGAAUAGAAAGCCACGGCUAACUACGUGCCAGCAGCCGCGGUAAUUC
rnacentral:rRNA from 1 species